rnacentral:snRNA from 1 species
ACGCUUACCUGGUGGGGGAGAGCCCAUGAUCAUGAAGGAGGUCUUCCCAGGGCGAGGCUCCCCCAUUGCGCUCCGGCUGUGCUGACCGCCGCCAUGUCCUCAAACGUGGGGAACUCGACUGCGUAAUUUGUGGUGGGGGGGGACUGCAUUCGAGCUUUCCCCUG